rnacentral:lncRNA from 1 species
ACUGCCCUGAGAGGACCUCCCACCCUCGCGCGCACGGGGACCCGCUAGCACCGCCGAGCGCUGCUCCAUCCAACCCACGCCUGAGGCUUUCCUCCUCAGCCGUGGGGACCGAUCCUCCAGUCUAGUCAUUGCCUCGAGCUGGAAUCUAAGGGACACCGCGCAGAUCCUCGUUCCCUUCCUUCCUGGCCACCUGCGGGGUCUUGACACGCAUGCCCAAGGUGGCAUGUGGCCCUCGACUGCAGCCCCUCCAUGCAGGUUCUGGGAAUUGAACUCUAGUCCUCUGGAAGAGCAACAAGUGUCUUAACCGCUGAGCCAUGGUCAUAGGCACUGAUGUAUUGCUGUGAAGAGACACCAUGACCAAGGCACACUUUAAGUGGAAGUUCACGUGCUAGGCUUGGAACGCUUCGUUUGUCUCAAAUCUUCAUCUUUGCUGUCUCCACUUCAUUGAGAGAGGCACAGCAGAGAACGUCUCCUGCUGUCCCGAAUGGUCCUGGUUGAUGCUGCUGUCUCGUGCUGAUUUGGUGGAGGCCUGGCGGUUUCUUGCUGCAGAUUCCUGUUUGCUAUCCUGACACUGCUCCGCUGGACUGCGGGAAUCCUGACAACAGAGAUUGGAAUCACCUGAAAGAGCUACUUCCAAACAGGUCCACAUCCCCUGUGCUAUUUAACAUCUGUUCUCUCCUACCUUUAUUUGUUUUUCUUUCUUCUUCUUCUUUUUUUUUGUUUUUGUUUUUGUUUGUUUUUUGAAGACAGGGUUUCUCUAUAUAGCUUUGGCUGUCCUGGAGCUCACUCUCUAGACCAGCCUGGCCUCGAACUCAGAAAUCCACCUACCUCUGCCUCCCAAGUGGUGGGAUUAAAGGAGUGGGCCACCAUUUCCGGGCUUAAUUAAUUCAUCAUCAUCACCAUUAUCAUCAUCAUUAUUUUGAAAUGGUCUUACUACUAUACUAUUAUGUAACCUUGGCUGGCCAGAAACUCACUCCAUAGACCAGGCUGGGUUGAGUUUGCAGAGAUUCGCCUGCCUCUCUGAAUGGUGUGAUUAAAGGUAUGGGCUAUUAUU